GUGAAUUAACAUGCUUGGUGUCUUCGCGUUCGGCAAGGCACCUUGCUUAAAUCACAUCCUAACACCUUGUGAACUGUAAGACGUAUGAUGAGGUCUUUGGCCAAAGUCAUCGUCUGCCCAUUUUUAACAAACAAUUAAUGUAACAAAACGUAGUCUAUUAUAACCUAAUA
rnacentral:misc_RNA from 1 species